GACGAACGCUGGCGGCGUGCCUAAUACAUGCAAGUAGAACGCUGAAGAGAGGAGCUUGCUCUUCUUGGAUGGGUUGCGAACGGGUGAGUAACGCGUAGGUAACCUGCCUUGUAGCGGGGGAUAACUAUUGGAAACGAUAGCUAAUACCGCAUAACAAUGGAUGACACAUGUCAUUUAUUUGAAAGGGGCAAUUGCUCCACUACAAGAUGGACCUGCGUUGUAUUAGCUAGUAGGUGAGGUAACGGCUCACCUAGGCGACGAUACAUAGCCGACCUGAGAGGGUGAUCGGCCACACUGGGACUGAGACACGGCCCAGACUCCUACGGGAGGCAGCAGUAGGGAAUCUUCGGCAAUGGGGGCAACCCUGACCGAGCAACGCCGCGUGGGUGAAGAAGGUUUUCGGAUCGUAAAGCUCUGUUGUAAGUCAAGAACGAGUGUGAGAGUGGAAAGUUCACACUGUGACGGUAGCUUACC
rnacentral:rRNA from 1 species